AGUGAGAAUGAUAUUUGUUCUUUAACAAUGUGGUAAAAAGUAUAAGUAAAGAUUCCUUGAUUAAUUUAGGGUUAUUUUUAUUUUCGAUUGAGAUGUAUUUUUAUGUUUUGAUUGAUAAAUGGGAAUAAUUUUUAGUUUAUUUAAUUAACGAGUCUUGGUAAUUUUUGAAAACCGGUGUUGAGAUAUAGUUUUGAUUGGUUUUAGUUAAUAGAUUUUAGAUUUAUUGAUAUAAGACUUUUUGGGGUUAUAUGA
rnacentral:misc_RNA from 1 species